rnacentral:rRNA from 1 species
GAUGAACGCUGGCGGCGUGCCUAAUACAUGCAAGUCGAGCGAACAGACGAGGAGCUUGCUCCUCUGACGUUAUCGGCGAAAGGGUGAGUAACACGUGGGUAACCUGCAUAUAAGACUGGGAUAACUUCGGGAAACCGGAACUAAUACCGGAUAAAAUCUUGAACCGCCUGGUUCAAUAGUGUAAGACGGUUUUGCUUUCACAUAUAGUAGGAUCCGCGCCGCAGUAGCUAGUUGGUCAGGUAACGGCUUACCAAGGGAACGAUGCAUAGCCGACCUGAGAGGGUGAUCGGCCGCACUGGAACUGAGACACGGUCCAGACUCCGACGGGAGGCAGCAGUAGGGAAUCUUCCGGAAUGGGCGAAAGCCUGACGUAGCAACGCGGCGUGAGUGAUGAAGGGCUUCGGAUCGUAAAACUCGGUGAUUAGGGAAGAACAAAUGUGUAAGUAAAUAUACACGUCUUGACGGUACCUGAUCAGAAAGCCACGGCUAACUACGUG